rnacentral:lncRNA from 10 species
GGGCGGGGUCUAUGAGGCUAAACUGAGGCGGGGCCCGGGUGGAAAGAGGGCGGGGCUUUGGGAUUGGCCGGGGCUACUGUGAGGAGCCUGGCGGGUAGGAGCAAGGAAACUGAGCGGGGCUGCUGGUUGAGUUCGAGCGGGGGGAGAGGGCGGGGCCCAGCAGGGAGAGGGCGAAGCUUCCAGGUGGGCUUCGGCUACAGGGAGGAGACCGAAUGGAGGGGACAAGGAACAAGGGCGGGGCCUGCGAGGGGUGCCGUAGGGGGCCGGGGCAGGGGCGGGCCCUGAAAUAGAGACGGUCUUUCAGCGACCGAUUUAAGGGUGAGGACGGGGUUCUCGAGACGCUAGAUUGAGAAGCUGGGUGGGGUCUAUGGGGGUCGGGCCAGGGACUAGGGCGGGGCCUGCGAAGGAGAGAGGGAAUGAGGCUGGAGGCGGGGCCAGAACCGGGAAGUUGAUUAGACAGUGAGGGUGGGGCCAGCACCCGCGCCCAGAUGGGAUCUGGCUGGCUAUGGGGCCUGGGAGGGGGCCUUCACCGCGCUGAGCGACAGGAGGCCGGGUCCCCACCGCCUAAUCUCUGUCAUCCACCUGGGCAGGUCUGAGGCCCAGAGAAAGGGCCGCCGCCUGCCCCCUACACCCCCUGGGGUUCCCCGGACCCUCACAGGUGUUGUAGGCCUUCUUAUGGGACAGGAUCUCCACCACCUCCUUCUUCCGGAAGGGCUCCGGCCCCGGCACCGGUUCUGGAAAAGAAACUGACAGUUUACGGAGGCGGCUAGGCUGAGGCUGCAGUGGGAAGGCCCAGGGGUGGCGUGGUCACAGCCAACAGCCACUAUCCCCCUAAGCACGACCUCGACUUAAUCAGCUACACGUCCAUAGUCCCUUCAUUCCUCAGGUCGGGGACCUUCAGGUCCUGUGUGUAACCUCCCCCGCCCCGUGUCCUGUGCACUCCCCGUGCUGCAGGAAGCCAGGUCUUUCUGUUCCAUCCUGGGACCGCCUGUUCCACCCAUCAACGACAGGGAGAUACCCAGGAAGGGGUGAGGGCAAGAGAGCCUGGAAGAUGUAUUUGUGGAUGCCUCCUGUCUACGGUGUGACUGAGCAAAUUACCUGACCUCUCUGUGCUUCCUCAUUAGGAAGUGGGGGGUGAUCACAUUAUGUACAUCACAGAGUUGCCAUGGGAUUUAGAAAUGAGAGUCCCUGGUGUUUGAUCACUGCACAGUAAAUGCCAGCUUUUUUUUUUUUUUUUUUUUUAGACGGGGUCUCACUGUGUCACCCAGGUUACCAGGUCGGAGUGCAGUGGUGUGAUCGCGGCUCACUGCAACCUCCACCUCCGAGGCUCAAUCGAUCCUCCCAACUCAGCCUCCCAAGUAGCUGGGACCACAGACAUCCUCCAUGUGCCUGGCUAAUUUUUUGUAUUUUCGGUAGAGACAAGGGUUUCGCCACGUUGCCCAGGCUGGUCUCGAACCCCUGAGCUCAGGCGAUCCACCCACCUCAGCCUCCCAAAGUGCUGGGAUGACAGGCGUGAGCCACUGUGCCCGGCCUAAAUGCCAGCUAUUAAAUAACUCAGGGACUGAAGGCUUGAGGACGCAUCAGGUUAAAUAGUAGUCAGUGCAGCCCUGGGAGAUGCUAAGCCUGGGGCUGCCACAGAUGGUGUGGUAUCUGGGGUUCCCCCAAGGCCAUCAGGCCACUCACUAGCAGGUUUCUGGGUGCCGAAGUGGAGCUCCAGGUCGAGGUAUUUCACCAUGUCACUCAGCUUAUCGUAGUCAGAGUCUUCCCCGAGCUGCGAGGGAGGAUGGGAGGUUCAGAGUAGGAGGAGCAGCAGCAGCUGGACUGGCCUCCCACUUCCCACCCUCUGAGGGCUGCCAUAGGGGCUUCCCGAGCAAAAGCACCCAUCAGGUGCUGGGAUAAAGCCCGGAGCAGGAGGAGACUGCAGGAGAAGCCAGAUCAUCCGAGUCACCGGGUGCUGAGCCAGCGCCUCCUGGGGUCAAUCGAGACUCAAGACUUGGAACACUACUCGUGCAGAAGCCAGCAAGGGGUCUGGCUCUGUCAUCAGGUCUCCUUGGAGAGCGGUGAGUUCACCAGGGCUGCCCUGGGCAGAGUGAGCUGGUGCUGAGAGAACUGCAACUGUGACAGCCUAGGGGCCAGACGCUGGACACGUGGCUGUGAUGAAUGGCAUAGAUGAGAGACCGCCACACCUCGCCUCACCCGCCUCCCUCCACACCUGCUUGCGUGCCCACCUCCUCGUAGUCGUUCUCCGGGGUCAGGAAAUCAUCCACGAUGGUGACCCGGGGGCCCAGCUGCUCGCUCAGCACGUCCAGGAAGCGCUACCAAAUAGGGAAGGGCCCCCUGUCUGGCGGACACGUGACUCACAUGACCUUACCUAUCAUUGGAGAUGACUCUCACUCCAUACCCUGCCCCUUUGCCUUGUACACAAUAAAUAACAGCACGGCCAGGCAUUCGGGGCCACUACUGGUCUCCGCGUCUUGGUGGUAGUGGUCCCCCGGGCCCAGCUGUCUUUUCUUCUAUCUCUUUGUCUUGUGUCUUUCUUUCUUUUUUU